rnacentral:rRNA from 1 species
GACGAACGCUGUCGGCGUGCUUAACACAUGCAAGUCGAACGGAAAGGCCCUGCUUUUGUGGGGUGCUCGAGUGGCGAACGGGUGAGUAACACGUGAGUAACCUGCCCUUGACUUUGGGAUAACUUCAGGAAACUGGGGCUAAUACCGGAUAGGAGCUCCUGCUGCAUGGUGGGGGUUGGAAAGUUUCGGCGGUUGGGGAUGGACUCGCGGCUUAUCAGCUUGUUGGUGGGGUAGUGGCUUACCAAGGCUUUGACGGGUAGCCGGCCUGAGAGGGUGACCGGCCACAUUGGGACUGAGAUACGGCCCAGACUCCUACGGGAGGCCGCAGUGGGGAAUAUUGCACAAUGGGCGGAAGCCUGAUGCAGCAACGCCGCGUGCGGGAUGACGGCCUUCGGGUUGUAAACCGCUUUCGCCUGUGACGAAGCGUGAGUGACGGUAAUGGGUAAAGAAGCACCGGCUAACUACGUGCCAGCAGCCGCGGUGAUACGUAGGGUGCGAGCGUUGUCCGGAUUUAUUGGGCGUAAAGGGCUCGUAGGUGGUUGAUCGCGUCGGAAGUGUAAUCUUGGGGCUUAACCCUGAGCGUGCUUUCGAUACGGGUUGACUUGAGGAAGGUAGGGGAGAAUGGAAUUCCUGGUGGAGCGGUGGAAUGCGCAGAUAUCAGGAGGAACACCAGUGGCGAAGGCGGUUCUCUGGGCCUUUCCUGACGCUGAGGAGCGAAAGCGUGGGGAGCGAACAGGCUUAGAUACCCUGGUAGUCCACGCUGUAAACGGUGGGUACUAGGUGUGGGGUCCAUUCCACGGGUUCCGUGCCGUAGCUAACGCUUUAAGUACCCCGCCUGGGGAGUACGGCCGCAAGGCUAAAACUCAAAGGAAUUGACGGGGCCCCGCACAAGCGGCGGAGCAUGCGGAUUAAUUCGAUGCAACGCGUAGAACCUUACCUGGGUUUGACAUGGAUCGGGAGUGCUCAGAGAUGGGUGUGCCUCUUUUGGGGUCGGUUCACAGGUGGUGCAUGGCUGUCGUCAGCUCGUGUCGUGAGAUGUUGGGUUAAGUCCCGCAACGAGCGCAACCCUUGUUCACUGUUGCCAGCACGUUAUGGUGGGGACUCAGUGGAGACCGCCGGGGUCAACUCGGAGGAAGGUGGGGAUGACGUCAAGUCAUCAUGCCCCUUACGUCCAGGGCUUCACGCAUGCUACAAUGGCUGGUACAGAGAGUGGCGAGCCUGUGAGGGUGAGCGAAUCUCGGAAAGCCGGUCUCAGUUCGGAUUGGGGUCUGCAACUCGACCUCAUGAAGUCGGAGUCGCUAGUAAUCGCAGAUCAGCAACGCUGCGGUGAAUACGUUCCCGGGGCU